CUCCUCUCCCACCCACCCUCACUCUCAUUUCUCACCAGGCUUGAAACGGUCAGGAAGAUCAGAACCCUAAAUAUUUUGUGGGGGGUUUUUUUUGGCUGUUGUGACAUUUCUGGAGAAAACUGGGAGGGAUUGUAAUCUCUGAAGAUGAACAAAAAUUCCUUUCUUUUUUUUUUUUGCAGAAAAUGUCUCGAGGCUCGUAUAUUGUAUAUGUAUCCUCUAAAUAAAUCUCCUUAUUAACUAAAAACAUCGUAGUUUGUUUUGCAAAACCUACAUAAAGUAACAUUCCAAAAGUGUGAAUUUCCUGUGUGAAAUUUAACGUCCGGAUAAAAACAUUUGUUGUACGAAGGCCUCCGAGAACAUCAGGAAACAAACCGUGUCUAGAAGACCAAAGAACUUGUCAGGGAGAUAAAGACCGCUUCAUCCAUCUUCUAAAAAUAAAGACCAAGGCUGACGUAGAGAGACAGACCGGGCAGGAAGGGUAUUGAUCUGAAAAGCAGCCUGCAGGCCGCUGGUAGCUCUGGGGGAGCUGCAGGGAUUCACAGCCGAGACAGCAGAAUGUGUUUUGCAGGACAUCGUUCAGAUAAGCGCUCCACAAAUAUGACCUUUAUGAAAGAAUGACAAAAAUACUUUGUUUGAAUCUUUUUAAAGUUUGUAGAACAUUAACAAAACAUAAGCAACAUGUCAACUUCCCUUCCUGACCCACGCCAAAAGUACAAAAAUAAAUAAAAUUCAGGAGAGCAAAACAACACAAAGGCAGUUCGUGAGACGUAGAAACUUUUUAACAUGACUAUCCAGAAUCUAAUGGGUCGCUAGCAUGGCGUCUACGUAGGUCACCAUGCUAGUGACCCACCACGCUAGAUCUCUAGCAACUCUUGUUGAAUGUGUAGAAAACCUUGAAUUGCUGCUCACAGAUAAAACUUUGUCUAAUCAGACUGAGCUGAAGAAGCAACUGAGAAACGUUUCAGUCUUCUAUUGACCCAGCACGCCAGACACAAACUAUGAACAACAUUUUUUCAGACUUUUACUUGUACAAAAUG